rnacentral:rRNA from 1 species
GUGGGGAAUAUUGCGCAAUGGGGGCAACCCUGACGCAGCAACGCCGCGUGAAGGAAGAAGGUCUUCGGAUCGUAAACUUUUGUCUUCAGGAACGAAAAUGACGGUACCUGAGGAGGAAGCCACGGCUAACUACGUGCCAGCAGCCGCGGUAAUACGUAGGUGGCAAGCGUUGUCCGGAUUUACUGGGUGUAAAGGGCGUGUAGGCGGGCUGAUAAGUCAGAUGUGAAAUACCGAGGCUUAACCUCGGGGCUGCAUUUGAAACUGUCAGUCUUGAGUGUCGGAGAGGUAAGCGGAAUUCCUAGUGUAGCGGUGAAAUGCGUAGAUAUUAGGAGGAACACCAGUGGCGAAGGCGGCUUACUGGACGAUAACUGACGCUGAGGCGCGAAAGCGUGGGUAGCAAACAGGAUUAGAAACCCGUGUAGUCC